rnacentral:rRNA from 1 species
GACGAACGCUGGCGGCGUGCUUAACACAUGCAAGUCGUACGGUAAGGCCCUUUCGGGGGUACACGAGUGGCGAACGGGUGAGUAACACGUGAGUAACCUGCCCACAACUUUGGGAUAACGCUCGGAAACUGGUGCUAAUACUGGCUAUGUGCUCCUGCUGCAUGGUGGGGGUUGGAAAGCUCCGGCGGUUGGGGAUGGACUCGCGGCCUAUCAGCUUGCUGGUGGGGUAGUGGCCUACCAAGGCGGCGACGGGUAGCCGGCCUGGGAGGGUGACCGGCCAAAAUGGGACUGAGAUACGGCCCAGACUCCUACGGGAGGCAGCAGUGGGGAAUAUUGCACAAUGGGCGCGAGCCUGAUGCAGCAACGCCGCGUGCGGGAUGACGGCCUUCGGGUUGUAAACCGCUUUCAGCAGGGACGAAGCUGUUUGUGACGGUACCUGCAGAAGAAGCACCGGCUAACUACGUG